rnacentral:sRNA from 1 species
UCAUCCCACGUCAGGAACUCAGGUCCA